GUAGGUGGCAAGCGUUGUCCGGAAUUAUUGGGCGUAAAGCGCGCGCAGGUGGUUCUUUAAGUCUGAUGUGAAAGCCCCCGGCUCAACCGGGGAGGGUCAUUGGAAACUGGGGAACUUGAGUGCAGGAGAGGAAAGUGGAAUUCCACGUGUAGCGGUGAAAUGCGUAGAUAUGUGGAGGAACACCAGUGGCGAAGGCGACUUUCUGGCCUGUAACUGACACUGAGGCGCGAAAGCGUGGGGAGCAAACAGGGAUUAGAUACCCUGGUAGUCCACGCCGUAAACGAUGAGUGCUAAGUGUUGGGGGGGUUUCCCGCCCCUCAGUGCUGCAGCUAACCCAUUAAGCACUCCGCCUGGGGAGUACGGUCGCAAGACUG
rnacentral:rRNA from 1 species